rnacentral:rRNA from 1 species
AACGAACGCUGGCGGCAUGCCUAACACAUGCAAGUCGAACGAGACCUUCGGGUCUAGUGGCGCACGGGUGCGUAACGCGUGGGAACCUGCCCUUAGGUUCGGAAUAACUCCCCGACAGGGGUGCUAAUACCGGAUAAUGUCUUCGGACCAAAGAUUUAUUGCCUUUGGAUGGGCCCGCGUUGGAUUCGCUAGUUGGUAGGGUAAAAGCCUACCAAGGCGACGAUCCAUAGCUGGUCUGAGAGGCUGAUCAGCCACACUGGGACUGAGACACGGCCCAGACUCCUACGGGAGGCAGCAGUGGGGAAUAUUGGACAAUGGGCGAAAGCCUGAUCCAGCAAUGCCGCGUGAGUGAUGAAGGCCUUAGGGUUGUAAAGCUCUUUUACCCGGGAUGAUAAUGACAGUACCGGGAGAAUAAGCUCCGGCUAACUCCGUG